rnacentral:tRNA from 1 species
AAAGAAUUAGUUAAAAUAUAACCUAAAUAUGUCAAAUUUAUAUUAUUACUAAUGUAAUAUUCUUUU